GACAUGUAAUUCCCUGACGUACCAGCGGUCAGUCUAUUGAUUAAAUACGUGUCAUAUUAGCGGCUGUGCUGACCGAUCGGUUAGCUCCGUGUAUCAUGUCAAUAUGGAUAUUAUCUAAACCAGACGGGAAACAGAUGUGAGCUUCCCAGUACGAUUGGAAAGGUUUCAUUUUUGUAUUAUUUUACAACCUAUCGACAGAUACAUCUUUUUUUACAAUAUCGACGAGGAAUAAAAAGAAUUGGACAUUUUUACUGUACACUGGUACCUUAGCUGAGAGAAAUCCGCAGAAUAUCGCGGCUACAUCAACUAAAUGCAAGAUCUCGGGUUUAAUGACAUCACAACAGCCUGGGUCAUAUGAGGACGGAUGUCGAGGAGACACCUAGAGCAAAAAACAAAGCACAGAAAGACAGAAUAGUGAUGAAAGAAAGGUUUGUUUUGUUUUAAGUGGAUAAAGGUCCUCACAAAAUCAAGGGUCAUAUGAGGACGGGAGUCAGGGAGACAGCUAAGGUGUUUUGUUUUUCCUAAGAUCCCGAGUUUUAUGAUAGGAGCAGAAGAUCUAUUUUGGUAACUUCAAUGUCCCCUAAAUAGAGGACCCGUAAGGAAAUUCAUGAUUCUUCAAGGGACUAACUUUUUAGCCGCCUUCUACUGUUAACAUGCAGUCGGAUAUAACAGACCUUAUUCUAGGUGUUUCAAGUUUCUCUCAACAGAAGACAAAGGAGAAACCAACCCGACUAAGCAUGGGGCCUCACGUGUUGAAGCUGAGGUCGAAUGUGUUUCCGUCUACGAUGAACUCCCGAUAUAUCCCUGAUGGUUUUAUUAUCCUCGGCGAUGAUCUAUCGACAGAUAAUGUUGUCGCCUGGCAUGUUGACAGCGUUCGAGAUUUUACGAGACUCUGCGAGACUUCCACAUUAUAUACUUUUUUUGACACGACAAGCUAUAAACGAAAACAUCGAUGUGCAUGCAAAUAUAGAGAUAAAAGUUACAUCUUG